rnacentral:rRNA from 1 species
GACGAACGCUGGCGGCGUGCUUAACACAUGCCAGUCGAACGGAAAGGCCCUGCUUUUGUGGGGUGCUCGAGUGGCGAACGGGUGAGUAACACGUGAGUAACCUGCCCUUGACUUUGGGAUAACUUCAGGAAACUGGGGCUAAUACCGGAUAGGAGCUCCUGCUGCAUGGUGGGGGUUGGAAAGUUUCGGCGGGUGGGGAUGGACUCGCGGCUUAUCAGUUUGUUGGUGGGGUAGUGGCUUACCAAGGCUUUGACGGGUAGCCGGCCUGAGAGGGUGACCGGCCACAUUGGGACUCAGGUGCGGGCCAGACUCCUACGGGAGGCAGCAGUGAGGAAUAUUGCACAAUGGGCGGCAGCCUGAUGCAGCAACGCCGCGUGCGAGAUGACGGCCUUCGGGUUGUAACCCGCUUUCGCUUGUGAGGAAGCGUGAGUGACGGUAAUGGGUAAAGAAGCACCGGCUAACUCCGUG